CAGAAGAUAAUUUAAUAAAAAUGUAAGUUUUGGGUGCUUAAAAUGAUUUUUUACUCUCUUCUGA
rnacentral:tRNA from 3 species